CAGCAGCCGCGGGAAUACGUAGGGUGCGAGCGUUAAUCGGAAUUACUGGGCGUAAAGCGUGCGCAGGCGGUUAUAUAAGACAGAUGUGAAAUCCCCGGGCUCAACCUGGGACCUGCAUUUGUGACUGUAUAGCUAGAGUACGGUAGAGGGGGAUGGAAUUCCGCGUGUAGCAGUGAAAUGCGUAGAUAUGCGGAGGAGCACCGAUGGCGAAGGCAAUCCCCUGGACCUGUACUGACGCUCAUGCACGAAAGCGUGGGGAGCAAACAGGAUUAGAUACCCGCGUAGUCCCUGUCUCUUAUAA
rnacentral:rRNA from 1 species